UAGGACUUUGGCUUAGCUGCUAGCAAGCAAGCUAAAGUUAGCCAGCUAGCGCUAUGGUGAUUAUCAAGCAAUUUGUCUGCGUUAGCAGUGAAGCUGAGGAUCGUCUGCAGCCCACAUGCUGCCACCUUCAAUGUAACUUGUCACUCCGAAUUAUCCUUCACCUCUGUGACACGCCGCAGGUUAACAGUCCAACCGUAAAGUGGCGGUGCUAAUGCUCAGCAGCUGGCUGCUUUUCUGUGGUUAAAUCAGAGUUUACAAGCUGCCAGCUGGUGUCCGUACGGAGGCUUCGACAGCACGGAGAGGAUGUGAGAAACGUGGGAAGCAGAGGGAGAUCUCCCGGGAGUGACAAAACAACUCCCUAACAAAGGAGAUAUUAACCCGAGGAGGAAUCCCAAUCCAGGCCGUUUGAAGCUGACAGUUAAUGAGAGUCUGCAAAAAUCUGUUUACAGCUCAAACUGCAGCCUGGAAUUAAAUAUU